GACCUCAGGGUGGCCACGUCAGUGAAAAAAAUUUACAGCGUCCGAUGGUAAAUCGGUGGCUUGUAUUCACCUCACCCACCCGCACUGUAGCUGUAAAUAUCUUCACUCCACUUCCAGAGCUUUCUCGUCGUCCUCUGUGCGCCCGCAACCCUCCUCACAAAGGGCCCUAAAGCCGGCGGCAGCGGCCAUUGCGGUAGCAGCAUGCCGAGGAGACCGGCGCCCGCGGCGGCGACGACAUGCCGGCGGCCUUUGCCGCGUCCUCGCCUCGCCUCGCCUCCUCCUGCCGCGCAGCCAGCGCAGGGGCGCUGGCACGGCCUCUGCUCUCCGCGCCGCCCGGACAACCGGAUCCGCGCCCCGGCCUCCUCCUCCACAUGCCUUCUCGCCGUCCCCGUUCCCGUCCCCGUGCGCCCGCGGCUGCCUGCCAGCCCAUCUCCUCCUCCACGCGCCUCCGCGACGUCUUGCCGUCCCCGUCCCCGGCGCGCCCUCUGCUCCUCGCCGCCCGGACAACCGGGUCCGCACCCCGGGCUCCUCCUUGCCAUCCCUGUCCCCAUCGUCCCCUGUGCUCCCGCGGCACAGGGCCAGCUACUAUACCUGCCGUCUCGGCGUACAGGCCAACUCCAACCACCACGGCUGCUCCCACAUCACCCGCUGCAGUGGUGCUACUGCUGGGCCGGCCGCCCUCUCCCUUCGGGCUCCCUCGUCAGGUGCCCCCCACCGCAGGAUCCAAAUCGGAUUUGGAGUCGUACAACGAACUCGCUCCAGCCUCCAGCCCAAAUCUUAUCCUUUUCCCUCGGAUUGGACCUCUGAUUCACUUUCUAUCUACUUCCUCUUGCACAUGGAAUCCAUCUCUCAAAUCUGUUCUUCCCCGCCAAAUUAUUUUUCUUUUUCCAGGUCCAAUCCAUGCCUCCCCAAUUUCCUUCCUAGAAUCAAAAUGGGCCAUGUCGCUGUUGUCAGCCAUCUGACAUCCGUGAGCAACUCGCUAUAAAUUUCUGGUUAUACCUCUUGCGACGAUAGUAACGCCCAUUUUCUAAUUUUGGUUUCGCUCCCAAUCAGCAUGCUGCAUCUGGUCAUUUCCUCCCUCUCUUUCUUGCAGUCGGCGCUUGCUUUUGCUUUUCCAUAUGAUGCGGCUGAGUAUGGCCAUCACCCCUGUACCUCUCUCUUAUAUUCCUCUUGCUUUUACUUCUUUGGUCCUCACCUUUCUUGCAGCGUUUACCACUUAACUGUGUAGCCUCCUGAGUAUACAGAUUGAUUAAUAAGAUUUGUCUUUACCAAUAGGAGGCUCUGCCUUUCAAACUAAUUUGGUUCUCCCUGCUAUUUCAAUUUCAGACUGAUUGUGCCUUCUGUUCUCUCUUCAGUGAUUUAUUAACAGAUACUUUCGACACUUAUUUGUUUCCAUUCUUGCAUUGUAGUUCCUGUAAGCUGAAUGUUCAGAACUCAGUUUGCUUAUCUACUUCACUCAAAUGCACAUUAAAAAACUGGUUACUACAUUUGCUCUUCAAGAUUUCCUAAUUUUUGUUCCCCUCCUCAGUUUAUUUACGUUCAGGUAGCCCUGUGUCUCUCCGUCAAAGUUCCGAAUAUGAUCAAGUAGUCCCCUGUCUCUCUCUGUUUUUAGCAAUAUCCAGAGUUUUCUUUGGUACAAAAUUUCUUUCCAGAUGGUUCCUAUUUUUUGUAGGCUGCAAAGUAAACUGAAUGACCAUUCCAACUAAUGUAGCAUUGCUAAGUAAAAUAUGCUUAUCAGGCGAGGUGGUGGAGGCCGCGACGCGAGCCGAGGCAAACAAGAAGGUGUUAAUCUUGAUGAGCGGCACGGGCGGCAGGCACCGAGCAUCCGCCGAGCCCAUAAGCCUGCCUUCGUCCAAUAGUUCGGCAAGAACUACCAGAUGAGAAACAGAAGGCAGCUAGGUAGUAUGGUAAGGCAUUUUUUUUUGCCUGACAGUAUCAAGGUAUUUUUUAUCUCCCAUUUUUUUGCCGCUGCUUUGUUAUUAUUGUUAUUGACCUGUUAACAAUUGCAUUUUCUGUUCCAUUACAGAACAUAAUCGUCCUUUUCUACUUGACAUUUCUGGAGGUUUUGCAAAUAUUAAAUGAUUUAUGACUAUUUCUGAGACCAUUAGUAAUCCGAGUUUUAGCAAAUUGCUUCUUAUCUUUUCAUUUGUAAAACUGUUCAAAUUGCACCAGUGGCGAUAAUGUCUUUCCAUAGGUGAGGUCUGUGAAACCUGUUUUAACAAGGCUUUUUUCAAUGGUACUAUAAGACGGGUGGAUUUUCACCAAGCAACAAAGCAAGUAAAUUCUUUUUCAGAUUGCUGUUGGUAGCAGCUCAUCCUCUAGCUGCUGCUACGACAGCAAAGUUUUAUAGUAAUAAUGCAGAACAAGAACAAACUUAAUACAACAUUCCCUCUUCAUCAGCUUAAGGUGGCAAAUUGUAAAAUGAACAGUGAAAUGUCUAACUGAAAUUUCUUUUGGGGGCACAGCUUGGUCCCUUUUGUUGGUAAAAUCUAAAGCUUCUUCAAAUGGUUAUGACCAUGGAACGACAAGGGACUCAUGGGAGGAAAUGCCUAUAUGGCUCAAUCUGAGAUAAAUAAAACCAAUUGUUCCUUAGAUAUUCUGUUGCUAAGAAUGUAUAGUUGCACCUUGAAAAUAUUCAGCACAGAUCAGAUCAGGUAUGUUCUUCAAUUUAAACAGCACCUUUGAAAAUAGAUGUUUAUUCAAAUGAUUAUCCGACCAUCUCAACUCUCAUCCAAAGUAUCUUUAACAUAUUUUUUUCUUACAAAAUCUUUUUCCAGGAAACAUGUCCUACCUCAAGUAAAUGCAUGCCAUGCCAAAAGAAAGAGAGAAAAGCACCAGCCAGCGCAGCAGCAGGAAACAAAGCUGUAAGACCACUCACCAAGUAAAGUCAAGGAGGAAACUCCAACCACUUGAUAUUGGCUUCUACCGAUUAGUAAUGUAGGCUCCUAUGGCAGGACUCACCACGGUUAUGAGAAGCCAUCAGCUUGAUGUGAGUCAGCAUGCUCAGUUUGGAAUAAAGAAAAUAGCUAUGUUCUGUUCUGGAAUUUUGCAGCAGUUGAUUAUAGAUUGGUUGCGUGCCAAGCAUCGGUUCUUGCUCUAACCCAUGAGCUUGCACAGCAAAUUGAGAUGGCCAUGUACAUCGAGGUUUGUUCUUCUCAACUCUGAGCAUAUUUUCUUCCAAUAUGCUUGCAGCAGCAUGCUUGAAUCUAUGACAAAUACCUGCUUGCUCCAAAUCCAGAAACCAAAUACAUCAGUGCUCCAAACUCUUCAUAUAGCAUGCUGUGCUCGAGCUUGCCAAGACGCCAACCCUUGCUCCAACUUCUCUUAUACAGCUUUUCCAUGCAUGCUUGCAGCAUGGGUGGCACUGGUGCUAAUUGGUUGCAUUACUGUAGCAGGUACCAGCCGAGGGCUCAAGGGCAAUAGUAGGAAGCCAUGUUUUCUGUCACAUCCUUUGAUCAGUUCUAUCACUUCCUACCGACGUGAAAAAAAUAUGUGUAUUUAGAUUCCUAUUAGAAGACUAAACAAUAGCUCUGUAGAUUACAUGUUCCAUUAUAAAUAUAUGCUUUCUACAUUUACUUAUCUUGGGGAAAAAAAAGGAAAAAAAACAGGGCAAGCUACUUCCAAUGUAAUGCGAGAAAGGGUUUACUCCCCGUCUUCAUCGCAAACAAGACCAAAGCAAAACCAUGUCAGUGCUUAGAGCACUAAGCCAGAUUGGAAAAAGGUCAGGAGCAACACAACCAUUCCAGGGACUUAACAUUUAGCACUGCCUAUGCCAGAAGAUUUAAUAGGCAGUAGCGCUUUUGUACUAAUGCGUAGUUGUGCAUUGUAUAUGAGAAAUAAUUGUACUAUCAUAUAUACCUACUAACAUAUGGCCAUACCAUGUUAAUGACCUGUUUAUAUGUAUUAAUGAUGUCCUACCUUAAUCU